rnacentral:misc_RNA from 1 species
GAUGAAGAACGUAGCGAAAUGCGAUAAGUAAUGUGAAUUGCAGAAUUCAGUGAAUCAUCGAAUCUUUGAACGCACAUUGCGCCCGCCAGUAUUCUGGCGGGCAUGCCUGUUCGUGCGUCAUUUCAACCAUCAAGCCCCAGGCUUGUGUUGGAGCCCUGCGGCUGCCGCAGCCUCCCAAAACCAGUGGCGGGCUCGCUAUCACACCGAGUGCAGUAGUUUACUCUUCGCUCAGGGCGUGUGGCGGGUGCUAGCCGUAAAACCCCCAACUUCUCAAGGUUGACCUCGGAUCAGGUAGGAAUACCCGCUGAACUUAAGCAUAUCAAUAAGCGGAGGA